GUCCACGCCCUAAACGAUGUCGACUGGUUGUUGGGAGAUUUAUUCUCUUAGUAACGAAGCUAACGCGUGAAGUCGACCGCCUGGGGAGUACGGUCGCAAGAUUAAAACUCAAAGGAAUUGACGGGGGCCCGCACAAGCGGUGGAUGAUGUGGAUUAAUUCGAUGCAACGCGAAAACCUUACCUACGCUUGACAUGUCUGAAAGAUCGAAGAGAUUUGAUUGUGCUCGAAAGAGAAUCAGAACACAGGUGCUGCAUGGCUGUCGU
rnacentral:rRNA from 1 species